rnacentral:misc_RNA from 1 species
CAGAGUUGCAAAACUCCCUAAACCAUUGUGAACGUUACCUAAACCGUUGCUUCGGCGGGCGGCCCCGGGCGCCCCUGGGCCCCAUCGCGGGCGCCCGCCGGAGGUCACCAAACUCUUGAUAAUUUAUGGCCUCUCUGAGUCUUCUGUACUGAAUAAGUCA